rnacentral:tRNA from 1 species
GGGAUUGUGGCUCAGUGGUAGAGCGCUCACCUAGCAUGUGUGAGGUCUUAGGUUCGAUCCUCAGCACCA